GAACCAGCUGAUGAGGAAACAAAACUGCAACAAUAUGAUGGAAUAUUUCCAUGAUUCACCUUAUAUUUAAGUCUCUGAUGGUU